rnacentral:rRNA from 2 species
CUGGCGGCGAGCUAUACAUGCAAGUCGAGCGAACAGAUAAGGAGCUUGCUCCUUUGACGUUAGCGGCGGACGGGUGAGUAACACGUGGGUAACCUACCUAUAAGACUGGGAUAACUUCGGGAAACCGGAGCUAAUACCGGAUAACAUUUGGAACCGCAUGGUUCUAAAGUGAAAGAUGGUUUUGCUAUCACUUAUAGAUGGACCCGCGCCGUAUUAGCUAGUUGGUAAGGUAACGGCUUACCAAGGCAACGAUACGUAGCCGACCUGAGAGGGUGAUCGGCCACACUGGAACUGAGACACGGUCCAGACUCCUACGGGAGGCAGCAGUAGGGAAUCUUCCGCAAUGGGCGAAAGCCUGACGGAGCAACGCCGCGUGAGUGAUGAAGGGUUUCGGCUCGUAAAACUCUGUUAUUAGGGAAGAACAAAUGUGUAAGUAACUGUGCACGUCUUGACGGUACCUAAUCAGAAAGCCACGGCUAACUACGUGCCAGCAGCCGCGGUAAUACGUAGGUGGCAAGCGUUAUCCGGAAUUAUUGGGCGUAAAGCGCGCGUAGGCGGUUUCUUAAGUCUGAUGUGAAAGCCCACGGCUCAACCGUGGAGGGUCAUUGGAAA